UACGUAGGGUGCAAGCGUUGUCCGGAAUUAUUGGGCGUAAAGAGCUCGUAGGCGGUCUGUCGCGUCUGCUGUGAAAACCUAGGGCUUAACUCUGGGCGUGCAGUGGGUACGGGCAGGCUAGAGUGCGGUAGGGGAGACUGGAAUUCCUGGUGUAGCGGUGAAAUGCGCAGAUAUCAGGAGGAACACCGGUGGCGAAGGCGGAUCUCUGGGCCUUACCUGACGCUGAGGCGCGAAAGCUAGGGGAGCGAACAGG
rnacentral:rRNA from 1 species